rnacentral:rRNA from 1 species
GUGCACCAGUCGCGAAACCUCCGCAAUGCGGGAAACCGUGACGGGGUCACCCCGAGUGCCACCCGAUGAGGGUGGCUUUUCCCCGGUCUAAAAAGCCGGGGGCAAUAAGCGGGGGCAAGUCUGGUGUCAGCCGCCGCGGUAAUACCAGCCCCGCGAGUGGUCGGGACGUUUAUUGGGCCUAAAGCGUCCGUAGCCGGCUCGGUAAGUCCCUCCUUAAAUCCACGGGGCUCAACCCGUGGGCUGGGAGGGAUACUGCCGGGCUAGGGGGCGGGAGAGGCCGAGGGUACUCCCGGGGUAGGGGCGAAAUCCGUUAAUCCCGGGAGGACCACCAGUGGCGAAGGCGCUCGGCUGGAACGCGCCCGACGGUGAGGGACGAAAGCUGGGGGAGCAAAGGGGAUUAGAUACCCGGGGUAGU